GCCCAAACACUUGGUUCACAGGUACCUGCUGCUCAAGCCUCUCGCGGGCCCAGUCCAGCUUCUCGGCCACAGUGCCUCCGUUCACCUGGAUCUCCAUCAGGAAGGCUGUGAGGUGGACCGGCUUGGACGGGUCAUCCUUAGGGAAGCUCUUCACCUUCCCACGAUGCCUGCUGCUGCGCUUCCGAGGCAGGAAGCCGAGG
rnacentral:lncRNA from 1 species